rnacentral:rRNA from 1 species
GCAAGUCGAACGGAAACGAUGGUAGCUUGCUACCAGGCGUCGAGUGGCGGACGGGUGAGUAACACGUUGGUACAUGCCCCCUAUUCAGGAAUACCUUUGCGAAAGCAAAGUUAAUGCCGGAUACCCCAGCAAUGGGAAAGCGUUUAGCGAUAGGGGAGUGGCCUGCGGCCCAUUAGCUAGUUGGUAAGGUAAUGGCUUACCAAGGCGAUGAUGGGUACCUGGUGUGAGAGCACGAAC